UUAAAUUGAAGAGUUUGAUCAUGGCUCAGAUUGAACGCUGGCGGCAGGCCUAACACAUGCAAGUCGAACGGUAACAGGAAUCAGCUUGCUGAUUCGCUGACGAGUGGCGGACGGGUGAGUAAUGUCUGGGAAACUGCCUGAUGGAGGGGGAUAACUACUGGAAACGGUAGCUAAUACCGCAUAACGUCGCAAGACCAAAGAGGGGGACCUUCGGGCCUCUUGCCAUCGGAUGUGCCCAGAUGGGAUUAGCUAGUAGGUGGGGUAAAGGCUCACCUAGGCGACGAUCCCUAGCUGGUCUGAGAGGAUGACCAGCCACACUGGAACUGAGACACGGUCCAGACUCCUACGGGAGGCAGCAGUGGGGAAUAUUGCACAAUGGGCGCAAGCCUGAUGCAGCCAUGCCGCGUGUAUGAAGAAGGCCUUCGGGUUGUAAAGUACUUUCAGCGGGGAGGAAGGGAGUAAAGUUAAUACCUUUGCUCAUUGACGUUACCCGCAGAAGAAGCACCGGCUAACUCCGUGCCAGCAGCCGCGGUAAUACGGAGGGUGCAAGCGUUAAUCGGAAUUACUGGGCGUAAAGCGCACGCAGGCGGUUUGUUAAGUCAGAUGUGAAAUCCCCGGGCUCAACCUGGGAACUGCAUCUGAUACUGGCAAGCUUGAGUCUCGUAGAGGGGGGUAGAAUUCCAGGUGUAGCGGUGAAAUGCGUAGAGAUCUGGAGGAAUACCGGUGGCGAAGGCGGCCCCCUGGACGAAGACUGACGCUCAGGUGCGAAAGCGUGGGGAGCAAACAGGAUUAGAUACCCUGGUAGUCCACGCCGUAAACGAUGUCGACUUGGAGGUUGUGCCCUUGAGGCGUGGCUUCCGGAGCUAACGCGUUAAGUCGACCGCCUGGGGAGUACGGCCGCAAGGUUAAAACUCAAAUGAAUUGACGGGGGCCCGCACAAGCGGUGGAGCAUGUGGUUUAAUUCGAUGCAACGCGAAGAACCUUACCUGGUCUUGACAUCCACAGAACUUUCCAGAGAUGGAUUGGUGCCUUCGGGAACUGUGAGACAGGUGCUGCAUGGCUGUCGUCAGCUCGUGUUGUGAAAUGUUGGGUUAAGUCCCGCAACGAGCGCAACCCUUAUCCUUUGUUGCCAGCGGUCCGGCCGGGAACUCAAAGGAGACUGCCAGUGAUAAACUGGAGGAAGGUGGGGAUGACGUCAAGUCAUCAUGGCCCUUACGACCAGGGCUACACACGUGCUACAAUGGCGCAUACAAAGAGAAGCGACCUCGCGAGAGCAAGCGGACCUCAUAAAGUGCGUCGUAGUCCGGAUUGGAGUCUGCAACUCGACUCCAUGAAGUCGGAAUCGCUAGUAAUCGUGGAUCAGAAUGCCACGGUGAAUACGUUCCCGGGCCUUGUACACACCGCCCGUCACACCAUGGGAGUGGGUUGCAAAAGAAGUAGGUAGCUUAACCUUCGGGAGGGCGCUUACCACUUUGUGAUUCAUGACUGGGGUGAAGUCGUAACAAGGUAACCGUAGGGGAACCUGCGGUUGGAUCACCUCCUUACCUUAAAGAAGC
rnacentral:rRNA from 1 species